rnacentral:tRNA from 1 species
UGGCUCAGUGGUAGAGUGCUUGCCUUGCAUGCAUGAGGUCUUGGGUUUGAUUCCUUA